ACGAGUUUCGUACUCCAAACCCUUUGUGAACAUACCUGUUUUCGUUGCUUCGGCAGGUGAAGGCGGACGGCCUCCGGGCCUGAAGCCGCCGCCGGGCGGACCCCUCGCGGGGCGCUGCCGGGUGGGCCUGCCGGAGGGCACAGACUCUGUAUUACAACGUACCUCUCUGAGUUAUAUUUUACAAACAAGUAA
rnacentral:misc_RNA from 1 species